UGCCUGGAUCCUGUUCUUGGCUCUGGCCUUUCCCACUUGUCUUUAACAUGGACACUCAUGAGAUCCUCCAGGAGGACCAGUGCAUCCUCAAGCUCUGCUACAUCAGGGCCAGAGACUUGUUGGGCUUCGUGUUCAUGCUGGCCAUGCCUGCCAUCUAUGGCAAGCUUUUCCAUUGCCACUGCAAAAUGAAGCCAAUGCACAUGGUAUUGGCCAUCAGCCAGAAGUUAUUGUUCCUCUGGGUCUGGGGUCACCAGCCAAGGUGCCACCUGCUUUAUCUCUGGUGAUGACCUGGAGUCCAUGUGACCCACCCUGGUGGACAUCCAGCAGAAUGGCCCUUGACUGCUAGGCAUGGAUAAGGUUAAGGGCAGGAAGCAGAAUGCUAUGUGUUCUAUUCCAUCAUGCUUCUCUUCUUGCCCCUGGGCCCUUGUACUGGUGAACCUUCAUCAAGGUCUGUGCCAUGUCCCAUUACUGUUAACACUGUUGAGUUUUGUCUAGGUUGCUAUCCACCCCAGUUGGUUUCCUGGUCAACAAGGACCUCAAGAACUGCCUGUGGACCAAGGCCCCCUGCCAAUGCAUGAGACACACACCUGCCCACCCCAGCCUUCCAGGAACCCUACUGGCUGCCAGACCGAUGGGCAGGCUGGUGUGGCCUUGUGUGUGGGGAAGAUUAACGCUAUAUGCUGCUUAUUUUGCCUCUGAGUAAAAUCUUGCCACUUUCCCCAUUUUCCCUAAUGGGAAAAUAGACCUGUAAAAGUGUGCUUUUUGUGUUUUGUUUUAACUUUUUUGCUCUUUAUUAUGGACAUUUUCAGACAUGCACAGAAGUGGAAAGGAUGGUCCCUGGACCCUGUGUGCCCAUCACUUAGUUACGUUAAUUGUCAAUUAUGAUAAACCUGGUUUCAUUUGUGUCUCCCUCUUCCCACCUGUAUUGUUUAUUGGAAAUCCAAGACACCAUGCCAAUGCAAUCGUAUGCCAAUAUACUUUGGGAGACUGAUAUUCUCUCUUGGUGAUGGUAGUGGUGGGGUGCACUAUCAUUAUCACAUCAACUCUGCUUUUUGUUUUUAAUGUUAUCUAAUGAAGUUCCAGAGAUGGGCUUUAGAAAUGCAAGUCUUCAGAAUUAAUGAGUCUCAAAAAGACAUGAAGGGGAUGCUCCCUUUCCACUGCAUCUACAAAAGGAGAGGGAGAUCAUUCUGCUGUAAUACUCAAAGACUGAUAUGAUAAGGUACUUAAGUGAGACUCUCUACCAGAAUAUCAAUCUUUUUUUUCUCAUGUAACUUGGAGACUCGUGUGACUGUUAGGAUUCUGAUAACAGCUUGUCAUGUUCUCAUAACUCUAGUCUUGGAAAUAUAUUUUGAAAAGUGUUAUGUUCUGUGAAAAUAACCUCCUCAGAGUAAUCAGUAACUGGUUGUUGUACUUGAUAAUUUGACACCCUGGUAAUAAUGCAAUUAUUUCUCUGUUCCUAAACAGUACAAAUAGUGUAAGCUUGCAUGCAUGAUGGAAAAAUAAAAACCUUUAUCUCUGUUA